AAAAAAUAUUAAAAUAAAAAAUUACACAAAUUACAUCACUACACAAACACACACACACUACACAAACACAUACUGCAUUACAUACACACACACUGCAUUACAUACACACACUACACAGACACACUACACACACACUGCAUUACAUACACACUACACAAACACAGUACACAUACUGCAUUACAUACACGCACACACUACACAGGCACACACACUGCAUUACAUACACACUACACAAACAC